UCCGCCAUGGUGUAAUCGGCAACACCUCAGAUUUUGGUUCUGAAGUUUCAGGUUCGAGUCCUGAUGGCGGAACGA
rnacentral:tRNA from 4 species